AACGAACGCUGGCGGCAGGCCUAAAACAUGCAAGUCGAACGGGUGUAGCAAUACAUCAGUGGCGCACGGGUGAGUAACGCGUGGGAACGUACCCUUCAGUACGGGACAACGUCGGGAAACUGACGCUAAUACCGUAUAAUAUCUCCGGAUCAAAGAUUUAUCGCUGAAGGAUCGGCCCGCGUCUGAUUAGUUUGUUGGUGAGGUAACGGCUCACCAAGACUACGAUCAGUAGCUGGUCUGAGAGGAUGAUCAGCCACACUGGGACUGAGACACGGCCCAGACUCCUACCGGAGGCAGCAGUUAGGAAUAUUGGACAAUGGGGGAAACCCUGAUCCAGCCAUGCCGCGUGUGUGAUGAAGGCCUUAGGGUUGUAAAGCACUUUCGUUGGGGAUGAUAAUGACCGUACCCAAAGAAGAAGCCACGGCUAAAUUCGUGCCAGCCGCCGCUGUAAGAC
rnacentral:rRNA from 1 species